AAGAAAAAGCAUUUUCAAACUCUGUAUGAUUCCAGAAUCAAUUAACAGUUAUAUUUUAAUUAUUAGUUGGCUGCUAGCAGUCAUGUGACCACUGUGAGCCAUAAGAAGGGCUAUGGGAGGGAGGGGGUGGAAAACAGCAUAAAUUCCCUAAAGGAAGGUUUUUGUUGUUGUUUUUUCUUCAGGUAGAUACAUGAUGCCAUAAGAAUGGGGAAAUAUAACAAUAUCCCAGCACUAGAACAGAAACAAUACACAGUAAAGACAAGGGACUUCUUUGAUGAUUCUAUUACAGUCUAUCAACAAAUAGUUAUUUAGAAGGUUUUGCUGUUCUGUAAUUUUAAAAAAUAUAAACUUAUUUAAAAAUAAACAGUUGUACUCCUUUCACAAAGCAACUUUACUUUUGAUAGAACUGUAUAAAAAAAGGUGUCAGCAUAGUUGCUGGGAAAAGGGAAGAUUAAACUUUGUUUCAAAAUACAGCAGAAAAGAUCUGUUGUGGUUGUAUGUGAAACUGAUUCAAAGAAGGAACAGAGUUCAAAGGAAGAAAGGCCUGGAGGUAAAAUAUAAUUUAAUAAAUGGCAUGGCCUACACCCUCCCUUAAGGUACUGAAUUAAGCCAUUUCUAUUGGAAACAAGGCAUGAACACCACCUCCUGGGUGUCAUGAGGGUCACCUCCCCCAUGAUCUGGCACCUCCCCAAAACACACUGCCUCAGCCAUAUAAAAGACUGAGGGUAUACUAAGCUGAUAAAACAGACACCAUCAAGAAACAACUGAAACAGAACUUCUCUCUUCACCAAUUCCCUGAAGUAGGAAAUCCCCUUUCAAGAGUCUCACAGGCAGAUGACAGGUAAGCAAUUACUUGACAAGCAGCAGUUUCCUGACUGUAUCUCCCUAGGCUGUAUUCUUGUUUCCUCUAAUUCUUCUUCUUUCCUAGGUACCUCCAUCUUCAUCAUACAGACUGAAGACCUACUCAGGUAAAACUCCCUUUGAAGUCAAUGAUCUCAGUUACACCAGUGUGAAUCUACUGACAUCAGAGUA
rnacentral:lncRNA from 1 species